AAUCCCUUUCGCCCAACCAACCUAAUCUCCACCACCAAACUCGACCCAUCUCUCCUAUUCUCCACCUUACCUGAUAUCAGCAACUUCACCCAAACACCACCACCACCUCAACAAUGGCAAAACAACAACAUUCAACUACACCCAAAAUAACUCCAACCCGAUUCCAGUCAACUUCAACACGACACCAACAUGAAACCGUAUCAAUAACAAUAUCAGCAAACAAUAAUUUCAAUGACAAUAUCAACGUUAACAACAACCUCAAUACAAUGACCCGAAAACCCAACGCACCAAUGACACCUCAAUCUAUUCUCUUUAAAUUUUCCAAUUUGAAAUUCAAAUUUUUACUAAUUAGUAUAAAUCCAGCUCACUCAUUCAAAAUCUUAUCUAAUUUUCAAAUUCUAAUUCAAUUCCAGCUCACUCAUUCAAAACCUUAUCCAAUUUUCAAAUUCUAAAAUCCCACAUUGAAAUCCCUUCUCGAAAUCCUCAAAUUUGAAGCCUAUAUAAACCUCUACUAUUUUCUUUUCUUGGGUUAACGUUUUUACAGUGGAGAGAACCCUCAAAGGCCCAAAAGAAGCUUGGGAUUUCUUAAUAAGAAACCCCCCAUUAUUCUGGGUCCUUUGAAAAUUAUUUCGAGGAAUUGUAAUUUUAGUUUUAUUUUGUUUGACUCUGAUAGAUUUAAAGUUAGGAGAGUUGGUGAAGUCGUUGUCAUCUCGUUGUCCCGAUUGCUGCUCUGGAACAGGUAAACAUAUCGUUCUCUUUGUUAAUCUCUUCUUCUUCAUCUUCUUCUUUAUGUUAGUAUUUUUUUUGCGUAACUGGUGGAAUUGUAUGCUGUAUAGGGACUUGAAGGCUAUAGGAUUUUUAUGUGGUAUGCUGGUUAUUCUGUUAAGCAAAUAGUCUUGUUUUGGUCGUUUUCCUUUAAUUUAUUCUAUCUUGGUUGAAUUGUUCAUCUGUCUCUUUGAGGUAAUCUUGGUUGUGAAAUCAAGAGUUAUCGCGCCUCUUGAUUGAGGAGUAACAUGUAAAGUCUAUGUAAACACACCUAGAGGCUCCAAUUGAUUUCUUGUAUCAAUUUGGAGUUUUGAACAGUAGCUACAUCGGUCUUUCUCUUGAUUUGAUUUCUCUAUUUUAUGAGCAAGGAGGGUUGAAAUGAACUCUCCGGUAGUUUAUUUUUUCAUCUAUAAGACGGUGUAUUGUGAGCAAUAAUAUCACUAGUAUCUUCAUGUCCUUUUCUGCGUUAACCACAGAUGCUAUGCUAAUGUUGCAGAUUAAUUGAUUAAGUCAGCUUUCUUGUUCCUUUACCGUUAAGUUUAUGAAAAAGUUUUACCAGAUUGAACAUAGGCUAAAAAAGAGUUAUUUGUGAUGCCCAUAAACUGCUUGUAUUAUCUUACUUCGAAUAAAGGUUAAGCUAUACUUUGGGAUGUUUUCUAAGUCAAUCUUGACCUCAUCAAGCUUUGAGUAUUAAAACUUGCUUGAAUCUCUCCGAUUGUCAUGUAUGCGUUUAUUUUGUAUGUUAUGUUUAAUAUAUUAAAUCAAAUGCGUUUAUUCUUGUAUGGUAAGUCUAAUAUUUUAAAUCGCCGAUUGAAUAAUUUUAAGCUCUAAGGCUCCUAUCUUGUUAAUAUUGGCUAAUGAAGUAUUCGGGUAGUUGAGUGUAGAAUAAAAAGGUGUGAGUCCUUUCUCCAUGUUGGUUUUUUUGUGCCAUUGUUUUAAAGUAUGUGAUUAUUAUGGUCAUUAUGGUUUGUGAUCUGUACCUUAAAUACGUGAUUAUUAUGGUUUGUUUAAAUUGACAUGUGAUAUAUUAUUUUGCUCGUUGUCCUAAUAGUGAACACUUGUUAAUCCUUAUCUUUUAUGUCUUUUGCAUGAACUCAUCUUGAACAAGUUCAAUUGGACUCCCCUUUCCUUCGCAUCCAAACUCUAUCGAGUCAUGCCUCAUUAAAGGCCAACAAAUGAACUGUAUACACUGUAUACAACAGAUAUACGGGUUUUCCAGGUGGAAGUGGCUGGUAGACGUCGACAUAUGAUGCAUAAUGAAGCUGGAAGCAAAUAUACAGCCAUUUACAUGCUGAUAUACGGUUUGGUGGCAUUUUCUCGUGGUUCUGUGAAAUAUUAGGAUUGUUCGAGACAACUUCAACUUUGGUGAGCCCUUCAUUCUCUGGAUGACAUAGUUCUUUUGAUGUCCAGACCUUGUCUCAAUGUUUAUGAUAUAGCCUUGGCCUUGUCUUGACAUAAUUAUUAAGUCAGGUUAUGUAGAGGCUCAUUGAUCCAGGUAGAUGUUAGUUUUAAAUGUUUUUAAUAUAUAUCAGUCUUGUUCAGUUACUUUGAAA